UUCUUGCUUAGGGUUUUC
rnacentral:miRNA from 1 species